rnacentral:sRNA from 1 species
CUCCUCUUUUGUACCACCGAUCAUGUCCUUCUUUGCAGGUUUGCAGAUAUAUAUAUCAUGAUGUUCAAUUUUAUGGAAUGGCGUUGGUUGGAAAUAUUUUCAGAUGUCCCUGUCAUAUGUUAAACGGAAUGGCUGAAUGAUGAUCAUAUUAUAAGGAUGGAUCUUUCUAUAUCCUUCAACCCUGUUGUUGUCAUCAAAUGGUGGCUUUUUCAUGUUAAGAGCGAAUUCAAGGUGGACUGGUGUUUUUUCAUAAUUCGUAAGAGCUGGUAAUUAUCACCUCAAAUUUGUUCAUUUUUAUGUUGGUUUCUUAAUCGUAUUGAAAUAGUUAAAUUUUACUUAUACCUUCACACUAUCAUCUGAGUCACUUUGUCUCAUGUGACCAUGACCUUUGAUUAUAGAAGGUCACCAACGGUCAAUGGUGGCCUGAUUGAGUUUGCAGUUUUAUGUAUAUGUAUAUAUCACCAACAAAAAUGUCGUUACAA